UCGAGAAUCUUCGGCAAUGGGCGCAAGCCUGACCGAGCGACGCCGCGUGGAGGAUGAAGGCCUUCGGGUUGUAAACUCCUGUCGAGGGGGAGGAAGGGGCAACCUUGACCGAUCCCUGGAGGAAGCACGGGCUAAGUUCGUGCCAGCAGCCGCGGUAAGACGAACCGUGCGAACGUUAUUCGGAAUCACUGGGCUUAAAGCGCGUGUAGGCGGAUGGGUGCGUCGGCUUCUGAAAGCCCCCGGCUCAACCGGGGAAGUGGGGCCGAAACGACCCGUCUGGAGGGACGUAGGGGGAUCUGGAACUUCCGGUGGAGCGGUGAAAUGCGUUGAGAUCGGAAGGAACGCCCGUGGCGAAAGCGAGAUCCUGGACGUUUUCUGACGCUGAGACGCGAAAGCUAGGGGAGCAAACG
rnacentral:rRNA from 1 species